CACGUUUAUUCUUCCCACAGUGGUGGAAAUUCGACUUGUCACAGCCGCAAACAUGAGAGUGACAAACACCAGAAAUUAGCAUCCACAAAUGUCACAGAUAACACACGACUGCCCCAACUGUACAGAACAUGUCGUAGAAAAAAAAUCACACUGUGGCUUGAAAAAAGUGGGCAACUAUUGAACGGUGUACAGGUCAACGAUACAAUCAAGUGAAAUGAAAACUCCUACAAGUCCCUGAAUGCAGCGCGUGAAAUCGUUGACUGUGGAUCUGCUUAAAAACCUUUGAUGUCGACGACCCGACGUUGCUGACCUCUUGUACACGAUUACUCGUCCCAUUCGUCAUUGAUCACUUGAGUUUUACAGUUGGAUUAAAUCAAAGAAUAUGAGCAAUCGCGCACUCGAUCAUAACGAUAUAUACUAGUGCCCUCUGACGAUCACUUACGGAACUACAACACGAAGGCUCUCUCUCUCUCUCUCACACACACACACACACACACACUCACUCUGUGUACAUACACUUAAGCCCCAAAUUCAUACUUUUUUGUAUGAAUAAUUUUUUGUCAAAAAAGGAUUCUUUAUUUUUUCACUUAGACAUCAGUAUAUCGCUCCAGAUUUUACUUAAAUAGACCACACAAGAUUGACUGAACCCAUAACCAAUUUAUUUAAGGUAGAAAAUGUAAAUAAACAUCUUUGACAGAGUGGGAACAAAAAAUCACACAAAAAUCCAAAAUUAUUCAUACCCUGCCUCAAU